rnacentral:rRNA from 1 species
GAUGAACGCUAGCGGGAGGCCUAACACAUGCAAGUCGAACGGGAUUGAGAGCUUGCUCUCAUGAGAGUGGCGCACGGGUGAGUAACGCGUAUGCAACCUGCCUUUAACAGAGGGAUUGCCCAUAGAAAUGUGGAUUAAUACCUCAUAGUUCUGAGAGAUCGCAUGAUUUUUCAGAUAAAGCUCCGGCGGUUAAAGAUGGGCAUGCGUGACAUUAGCUAGUUGGUGAGGUAACGGCUCACCAAGGCGACGAUGUCUAGGGGUUCUGAGAGGAUGAUCCCCCACACUGGUACUGAGACACGGACCAGACUCCUACGGGAGGCAGCAGUGAGGAAUAUUGGUCAAUGGGCGCAAGCCUGAACCAGCCAUCCCGCGUGCAGGAUGACGGCCCUAUGGGUUGUAAACUGCUUUUAUACACCAAGAAAAAUCUGAACGUGUUCGGACCCGACGGUAGUGUAUGAAUAAGCAUCGGCUAACUCCGUGCCAGCAGCCGCGGUAACAC